ACUCAAAUGAAUUGACGGGGACUUGCACAAGCGGUGGAUUAUGCGGUUCAAUUCGAUGACAAACGAAAAACCUUACCAAGGCUAGAAAUCUAGAUGAAUGCUCGCAGAAACGUGAGCAGUCUCACAAGGACAUCUAGACAGGUGAUGCAUGGCCGUCGUCAGUUCGUGGUUUAAGCUGUUCCCUUAAGUGGGGUAACGAACGCAACCCUUGUCGCCUGUUACAAGUGUCAGGCGAGACCAUCCAGCACUGUGGAAAUAACCCUUCGGGUUGUUUACAGAGUGCUGGGAGGAAGCGAGGAUGACGCCAGGUCAGCAUGUCCCUCUGACGCCUUGGGCUACACGCAUAAUACAAUCGCCGGUACAACACGUUGCGACGGGGUAACCCUGAGCCAAUCGUUAUAAAGCCGGCGCCAGUUCGGAUUGGGGGCUGCAACUCGACCCCAUGAAGUUGGAAUCGCUAGUAAUCGCAGGUCAGCUAUACUGCGGUGAAUACGUUCUCAAGUCUUGUACACACCGCCCGU
rnacentral:rRNA from 1 species